UACGUAGGUGGCAAGCGUUGUCCGGAUUUACUGGGUGUAAAGGGUGCGCAGGCGGGAUAGCAAGUCAGCUGUGAAAACUCCGGGCUUAACCUGGAGACUGCAGUUGAAACUGUUGUUCUUGAGUGAAGCAGAGGUAGGCGGAAUUCCGAGUGUAGCGGUGAAAUGCGUAGAUAUUCGGAGGAACACCAGUGGCGAAGGCGGCCUACUGGGCUUUAACUGACGCUGAGGCACGAAAGCAUGGGGAG
rnacentral:rRNA from 1 species